rnacentral:rRNA from 1 species
AGGACGAACGCUGGCGGCGUGCUUAACACAUGCAAGUCGAACGGAAAGGCCCUUUCGGGGUACUCGAGUGGCGAACGGGUGAGUAACACGUGGGUGAUCUGCCCUGCACUUCGGGAUAAGCCUGGGGAAACUGGGUCUAAUACCGGAUAUGACUACGAAUCGCAUGGUUUGUGGUGGAAAGCUUUUGCGGUGUGGGAUGGGCCCGCGGGCCUAUCAGCUUGUUGGUGAGGUAACGGCUCACCAAGGCGACGACGGGUA